AUGAACGCUGGCGGCGUGCCUAAUACAUGCAAGUCGAGCGAACAGACGAGGAGCUUGCUCCUCUGACGUUAGCGGCGGACGGGUGAGUAACACGUGGAUAACCUACCUAUAAGACUGGGAUAACUUCGGGAAACCGGAGCUAAUACCGGAUAAUAUAUUGAACCGCAUGGUUCAAUAGUGAAAGACGGUUUUGCUGUCACUUAUAGAUGGAUCCGCGCCGCAUUAGCUAGUUGGUAAGGUAACGGCUUACCAAGGCAACGAUGCGUAGCCGACCUGAGAGGGUGAUCGGCCACACUGGAACUGAGACACGGUCCAGACUCCUACGGGAGGCAGCAGUAGGGAAUCUUCCGCAAUGGGCGAAAGCUUGACGGAGCAACGCCGCGUGAGUGAUGAAGGUCUUCGGAUCGUAAAACUCUGUUAUUAGGGAAGAACAUAUGUGUAAGUAACUAUGCACGUCUUGACGGUACCUAAUCAGAAAGCCACGGCUAACUACGUG
rnacentral:rRNA from 1 species